AUACGUAGGGGGCAAGCGUUAUCCGGAUUUACUGGGUGUAAAGGGAGCGUCAGGCGGUUCUGCAAGUCUGAUGUGAAAGCCCGGGGCUCAACCCCGGGACUGCAUUGGAAACUGUGGGACUUGAGUGUCGGAGGGGCAAGUGGAAUUCCUAGUGUAGCGGUGAAAUGCGUAGAUAUUAGGAGGAACACCAGUGGCGAAGGCGGCUUGCUGGACAAAUACUGACGCUGAGGUGCGAAAGCGUGGGGAGC
rnacentral:rRNA from 1 species